rnacentral:lncRNA from 1 species
UCAUGGCGUAUCUAAUGUUUACAUUGAAUAUUGACAUUUAAUUUUUAAAGAAUAUCCUGUUUGGUUUUGUUUUUUUGUUAAUUGUGUAACGAAAUUGUGAUAGCAAAUUAAAUAUGAAGUGGUUUAUCGCCUACAGAACUUAAUUAUCCCAUAGUAGUUAUCAGUUUGUGUCAAUUUGUUUAAAAAAUACCCUACUCCCAAGGCUUUACAUUUUCCCCAUGCAAUACAUUUAAAUGAAUUAUUCAAACAAAGGCGAGAAGAAUUGAUAAAAGCCGUAAGGAGAACAGAUCUAACAGAACUAAAAUUAAAAUAAAGUGGAAAGCCAGCCACUUUAGAGGACAUAAAUAAUGAAGAUUUGAUUCCAAACCAAAACAUGGGUUGCCAAAGCCAGGCAAUAAAAAGAAAAGGUGAUCUACAAUCCGAAGAGCUAAUAAAAGAAGUAAAUAUAAAGAAAAUAAUGCUGAGACUUCUCUCGAUGAUGAACCAACACCAGAUAGUUUAAAUGUAGGGUAAGGAGUAACUGCUGGAACUCCAACACAAAUGUGUUUGACUAGUGAAGAUUUGGGUAAACAAAAGGAGUUAUAGCUCCCGGAUCGAACUGUGUCCUGUGAGAGAAACCCUGUCUGUGUAAAGAUUAGGUGAGUGGUUCGCUCCAGGAGCUGUACUUUCAUUUUCCAAAGAAAUACUUAUGCCUGGUUGCACCAACAGAUCUUAAGCUCCAGCUUAGCUAAGCUCUACUUAUAGAUAGGGCCUCCUUGAGUAUCACUUACGUUGCACCAUAAUUUUAGAUUCUUACCUUAUUAUCAAUUAUAUCUAUUAUUAUAUUAUGGUAUUCUUAUUGUAAUAUAUUAUAGUGUGAAAACCUCGUAUCUCAUUAAAUUACAAUUUUACAGGAGAGGCAAAAAACUGAUUUUCUGCAUAAUAUAAUCUAAAAACAAAAACUGCUGUUACAUAUUUUAAUUUGAGCACAUUGAGACAAAUAUCUGAUCUUGGCCCAGACCUAAAAGUGUUAAAUGUUGCUAUUAAAUUGAAAAUAAAAAUAUUAACUAUGAAAAACACGUAAAUAUCCUUGCAGUACCUACAUAGAACAUUUGCCCAAGUAACUAUGAUAACCUCGUAUAUCUUGAUAUACGUGUUUUUCAUCUAAAAUGAGGUUGUGUUUAUGAUUAUUUACGAGGUUUUCAUUUUUCAUAGCUUAUUGCACACCUCCAAAUACUAGGUUGAUACAGUACAAAUCUUUUGACAUAGGGUUCAUAAAAUGUUUCUAUAUACCGGACUACCUUUUGUUGUUCACAAAAAAACAUUUCUCCAAGUCGAAUUUUUUAAACAAACACUCCAAAUUAAGUACCAAAUUCGUGGUUAUAAAUAUACGUGGUAUUCACACUAAAUCAAGAGAGCAAUUGAUAUACGUGGUUUCUUUUUUCGGCUGUAGAAAAUAGUCUGGUGUAUUUGGAUUUUUUCUAACAGUUGUAAAUCGUGAGAUACAAGGUUUUGAAACUAAAACCACCAAAAUGUCAUUUUCGAAAAAUAAUGAGAUACGAGGUUUUCACACUAAGCCGUCGAUAUACCAACUUUACCAACCAGUUCUAUAUCUGCUUUGAAACUAUGUCAACAGUAUUUGUUAAGAUCAAUUAAAUUACAACUAAACCUUCCAUUUAAAGAUAUUGGAUAUCGUUUUGGAAUAUUGAAUAGCAUCUGUUCUUCAGAUUUUAAUACAGUCAUUUCAAUAUUACAUCAAAAAUUAAAAAGAUUAAUAAUCUGGCCAGAACAAGAAGUAGCACAGAAAACAGUCCUCGUUUUAAAGAGGUUUUCAGGAUAAAACAUCAGAAAUAAUAAUUGAUCAUUGAGAGACCAUCAAACUAUUUAACACAACAACAGUGCUGGUCAAAUUAUUAUAUUUAUCUUUGUUAGGUAUACAUAAUUAAUUAUUUUUAUUAUGUUCUUUAGUUACUAAUUUUAUAAAUAUUUGUGUGAUUUCAAUAAAAAUUACUUUUAUUCACAACAUUUUACUUGUAAAUUUACCCUGUGUGGAUAGACACUUGCCAAACAACAUAAUAAAAAAAUAUGACUUAUUUUACUUAUUAGUUGAUUUUUUUGCUGUCAAGUGUAGUAGUACUUAGUAGAUAAUUAAUUUUGCCAAUUUGGGAAAAUUGACAAAAAGAUACUUACUAAUUAUAACUAUUUAUAAUGGGAAAUAAGCCACAAUAUUAUUUUAUACUAUUUUAUAUUUUGACAACGGCACCCGAUUUGGGCGUCGAAACGUUAAUAAAAAUAAUUUUUUUAAUAAUAUUGUGGCUUAUUUCCCAUUAUAAAUAGUUAAAAUUGUAAAAAUGCCACAAGAAAAUAGCUUCAGAACAACACUUACUAAUUAGUUAAUAGUUACUAAAUAGUUAGUAAUUUUGGCAAAAUUGGUCAAACACAAAAAAAUUACCUACUAAAAUCACUAGCCAGUUGUGUCUGAGUUUAGCGAACCGACUAUAAGACUAUCUGCACAAUGUAAUUGUCACAUUUUGAAAUGUGUAUUUGAAUGUUAUGAACAUAUUGUAGUAUAGUUAAUAUUUGUAAUCCGAGUUAUGGGUGCUCAUGGGGGCACCCUAAUUCUUUCUACAUACAAUGUUUUUUUUCUGGUAUAACAAAAUAUGACUUUCUGUUAAGUGAAGCCUUUUUUCAGUUUUCCUUAGUUUAUAGUAAGAAUUUAAGCUUUACAUUUAUACUGACUUCCACGGAAGAGUCAGUAUAAAUGUAAAGUAAAUAUAAAUAUAAACUUUUUCUGCUAGGAACUUUCGUAAAAUCCACAAUUUAUGCUUAGAGGUUACUUUCCUUCUAUGGAUGUCAACUAUAAUUUCAGUGAUUUUUUAAUAAGCUUGUCUGUAUCUUCAGUAAAGCAUUUCCUUUAAUUACAAUUAAGCCAAAACAUCACAAACCCUUUGCUACCAAAGGUAUCCCCACAUCAGCCAAGAAUAUAAUGUUCACUACUGUACAUCAAGAAAUUUACUAAAAACGUCUAUGUUACUGAAUAUAUCACCAAGUACAGGGCAACCUAUUUGAAACUUAAAAAAUCAGCUAAAAAAUUAUACUAUCAAAAUCGUCAAAAAAGCUCUAAGAGUGUUGCAAAAUAAAUUUGGUCCAUAAUAAACAAUCUUCUUCGAAAUCAAACUCACACACCUCAAACAUUUUCCCUUCCAGACCAUGAAUACUUUGUUAAUGUGAGUAAAAAUAUAACAUAAACUAUUUUGUCACAAGAGAUCCAUUGUGUUAAGAUCCGAUUUCCUAUCUCCCUAAUUCAAGAAAGGUCUCAAAUUCAUUCUUUAUAAGACUAGUUGAUAAAUCUGAACUGAUCCAAACAAUCAAUAGUAUCAAAAGCAAAUCUUCCUAUAGUACUGAUGACUGUACAUAAAAAUUUUCUCAAAUCUCCCAUAAAAUAUGUAGGGAGUCCUCAUCCCACUAAGGAUUCUUUUAAGGGGCUAUCCUAGUGUAAAAGAGCGAAAUUCACAUACCUUUUUUUGGGAAUAUCUAAAAUAAAAAGUACUGUACUAAUUGUUUUGAAAAUUUGCAUGAGCAUUUAUUAUAACAAGAAGAACAUGUAAAACAAUUUUCAUAAAAAAAAUAUUGAAAAUUAAACGAUUUAUGCACCAUCUACUGACACAGUGAAAAUAAAAAAAAUGGCUCCACUGCUGCAGUGAUUGGGACUAAUAGAGAUCCUGAAACAUAAAAUUGCAAAGUGAUUAUUAGUGGUUAUUUCCUAUAUCAUCAAUAAGGAUUUUUGAAAAAUAUUAAAAUUUGGAAAAAUGAAAUUUUUUUAAAAUUAGCUAGAACAUUUUCAGUUUCAAAAACAGUCAAAUUGACAUUUUUUAUCCGAUUAAAAAAACCGCUAGUUGAUGGUAUAGAAAAUAACCUAUAUUUCAAUAAUCACUUUGAAAUUUUAUGUUUCAGGAUCUCUAUUAGUCCCAAUCACUGCAGCAGUGUCGUCACUGUUUUUAUUUUCACGGUGCCAGUAGAUGGCGAAUAAAUCGUUUAAUUUUCAAUAUUUUUUUAUGAAAAUUGUUUCACAUGUACUUCUUUUUAUAACAAAUGCUAAAUGCGCAUUCAAAUUUUCAAAAUAAUUGGUACGGUACUUUUUAUUUUAGAAAUUCCCAAAAAAGUAUAUGAAUUUCGUACUUUUACACUAGGAUAGCCCCUUAAGAAAGGUAAAUUUCCAGAGCUGCUUAAAGACAGCCAUCAUUAUUCCUCUUCGUAAGGGUGGUGAAAAAUCUAAUGCCUGCAAUUUAUAGACCUAUUACAUUACUACUGGUACUCUCCAAUAGGACUCAUAAUACACAAGUAUAAAAACUUGUUGCUGGUAUGAGCACAUUGUGCAAAUGUUAGGAUAUAAAAACCUUCAACAUGAUUAUGAGCAUUAGGCUCUUUAUAUCCUAACAUUUUUUUUGUUAUUGUUUUAGUUUUUUGUGUUUAUUGUUUUUUAUGACUCUUUGUAAGUUUUGUGUAUAAAUUGUACAA